GUGGAUUAGAUACCCUGGUAGUCCUGGCAGUAAACGGUGCACGUUUGGUGUGGGAGGAUUCGACCCCUUCUGCGCCGGAGCUAACGCGUUAAACGUGCCGCCUGGGGAGUACGGUCGCAAGAUUAAAACUCAAAGAAAUUGACGGGGGCCCGCACAAGCGGUGGAGUAUGUGGCUCAAUUCGAUGCAACGCGAAGAACCUUACCUGGCCUUGACAUGCAUCUCUAAGCGCGUGAAAGCGCGUGAGUCCCGAAAGGGACAAUUUGCACAGGUGCUGCACGGCCGUCGUCAACU
rnacentral:rRNA from 1 species